rnacentral:rRNA from 1 species
AUGAGAACAUACCACUUGGCAUCACAACUUGGUUUAAUCUGGGAGGUAGAUUCUGGAUCAGAUAUUAUGAAACUACUCUCAUCGGAACAUUCAUUUCUGAAGCAGAUGAUGAGGUUGAUGCAAGCUAGCAUGUCACAUGUGAAACACCUUGAAAGUGCUCUAGAAAGAAAGGAUGAUGAAUUAUUGAUAAAAGAGGAUAUCAUCAAGGCAUGGAUAUACUGUCAUGAGCAGAGGAUGAGACUCAUGUAUGGAAGGAGCAUUGGGCCGCCACUGGUUCUACCAUCAGGGCUUCGUUCACUUCAACUUUCUUCAUGUAGUAUUACAGAUGGAGCUUUAGCUGUUUGCCUUGAUGGUCUAGCUUCACUGCAAUGUUUGUUCUUGUACGAGAUUAUGACUUUAACUACACUUCCUUCAGAAGAGGUCUUCCAACAUUUGACGAAAUAG